GCCGGUGUGGUGAAGUGGCUAACACACAGGAUUUUCAUUCCUGCAUUCGCGGGUUCGAAACCCGUCACCGGUU
rnacentral:tRNA from 3 species